UUUUGAAACAUAGAAUUUCGUUUUUUUGUUUGGUUUUUAUAUGAUCUAAAAGAAAAAGCUGUGUUCGGAUCUGCGAUGGGUGGUGGCGUUUUAUGUUAGUUUUCAUUUUCUCAUUUGAAAUGAUUAGGGCAAUAAUGAUUUCCUUCUGAAAGUUCUUUUUUUUCCGAAAAGAAAAGAGGAUCGUUUUUUUUUCUUUUCUCUUUUUUGUUUUCAAUAUUUUAAUAAAUUAAUGAUCCAAAUCUGUCAACCAAACCAUGAGGAAGAAGCUCGAUACCCGUUUCCCAGCCGCUCUCAUUAAAAAGAUUAUGCAAGCUGAUGAAGAUGUUGGGAAGAUUGCAUUAGCAGUGCUUGUUUUAGUUUCUAAAGCCUUGAAAUUGUUUCUACAAGACCUUUGUGAUCGUACAUAUGAGAUUACCCUUCAGAGAGGUGCAAAGACCAUGAAUUCAUUACACUUGUAAGUGAAGAAUUAGCAUUAUUCUUUGUAGCAUGCGACGUUUAUUUUCUACUUGAGGACUCGAUCAUCUAUCUGCAUUUAUAUAAAUUUUUCAUUCAUAUAACACUCUUUGGCCAUUGUGUUUAAGUAUUUAUUGACAACCCAUAUUCCAUUUCUCUCAAAAUACCAACAUUUAAACAUUUUUCUAUCCUAAGCAUGAAUUGAACCCUCUGCUGGCCUGUAAUCUAUGUUACUCAGACUUGGGGAUAAUUUUAGGAUAUGGGUAUAUGUCCGAAUAGGGUAUGCUCAAAAAAAAAA